rnacentral:rRNA from 1 species
AUUACGUCCCUGCCCUUUGUACACACCGGCGGUCGUUACUACCGAUUGAAUGGCUUAGUGAGACCUUCGGAUCGGUAUUCAAAAGUUGGCAACAACAUUUGUUUGCUGAAAAGUUGUUCAAACUUGGUCAUUUAGAGGAAGUAAAAGUCGUAACAAGGUUUCCGUAGGUGAACCUGCGGAAGGAUCAUUA